GCUUCUGUGCGCGGGUUGGGUGAUGAUUGAGGACAGUGAUCAGCCUUGCUUAGCGCUUCACCCCUUGCCCCGGGGAAAGCUGGAUGAGGGAUCUCCGGGCUCCUAGACUAAGUGUGGGUUGUCCCGGAACCGCCUGUACCCACUCCGAGUUGAUUUAUUACGGUCCCAUUGCUGUUAGUAUUUUUGUUGUUGUUGUUGUUGUUGUUUGUUUGUUUUUACUCGAGUAAUCCAGGAACUGGCGGAAACGUUGAGUUCCGUACCCGGUGAUUGUUGGCCCCUGGAGUUCGCGGUCCUUUCGGCACUGACUGACUCGGCGACCUCCCCCGCACCGCGCAGACCCCUGCAGGACCCUAGCCGCUCACCUGCCGCCCCCGGCUCCAGACUCCGACGACCCAGCGUGGGUCUCCGGGGAUCCAGUGUCUAGAGUUGGGGGGGUCUCGAGGACGAAGGGAAGUUUUUUAAUGCUACACUUUUUGUUUAAGGUUCUUGCCUGGAAACAUUAAAACACACACACACACACACACACACACACACACACACAAAUUUGUAGGCUGGUCUAAAUGUCUCCAGCUCUAUUUCUUAAUUUCUUGUAAAUCAUGAAUCAUAAAGUGUCAUGGCUAUACGGUGAUCCUAUUAGAAUUCCUCACAGCCGUUUAUUUGGGCUUUUUGUGAAAAACUGCAUAUCAUGUUAAAGAAAAAAUGUAAUGAAUUAUUUAAAGAAUCCUUGCAUGUAUAAAAUG
rnacentral:lncRNA from 1 species